GCACCGGCUACUACGUGCCAGCAGCCGCGGUAAUACGUAGGGUGCGAGCGUUGUCCGGAAUCAUUGGGCGUAAAGAGUACGUAGGCGGUAUGAUAAGUUAGGAGUAAAAGGCACCGGCUCAACCGGCGUAAGCUUUUAAAACUGUCAUACUUGAGACAUUGAGGGGAAAGUGGAAUUUCUAGUGUAGCGGUGAAAUGCGCAGAUAUUAGGAAGAAUACCAGAGGCGAAAGCGACUUUCUAGCGAUGAUCUGACGCUGAGGUACGAAAGCGUGGGUAGCAAACAGGAUUAGAUACCCUGGUAGUCCACGCUGUAAACGAUGAGUGUUAGGUGUCUGGGAGAACCUGGGUGCCACAGCAAACGCAAUAAACACUCCGCCUGGGGAGUACGCACGCA
rnacentral:rRNA from 1 species